AGACAUUCAAAACAUACUAUUCAAGUACCGAGCAGCUUCGAAACAGUGAACCGAAGCAAGGUGACGCACUACAGCCAGGCAUCAGUCAGUCCCAGCGGCCAUGUGUGGUGCACUCGUGUACCCGAUCCUGUGCCUUCUCGAACAUUUACUGGGAUCCUGGUGAAGCAGGACUGCCUUAGCACCAACCCAAGCCUGCCCAGUAUUUAUGGUGUGGUGGUGAUCGCUUACCUGGGCUGUGUAGAAGAUGGGAUGCUGUUGGAUAAUGAAGAGGAAGUGAAUGGUGGUGUGAUGAUGUGCAGGUCACUCCCACCUUUCACCUUCCUUUCACUCGCUCUCUGGAGUCCACACCCUGCCAGUCUAGAGUGAG